GCUGAGUGCAGCCUGGUGGCUAGCGCUGUGGUCUUCGGUAUCACAGGCAUCAGGUUCGAAUCCUGGCGGUGGCA